CUCAGAUGCAUGCAAUGCAUGUCAGUCUCAAAACACUGACUGGUGGAGCGUUUUGACCCUGAAUGAACCUAAUAACUUACACCAAGAGUGAUGCUUAAUGACCGUAAGGCUCUUCAAAAUCGGCGAAUCAUGCAUUGUGGUUGAAAAAUCACUGGCAUGCUGCCUUUUAGCAACAAUUAUCUCCUAAUGUGAAUCACACUGAAGAGCUGCACUCAUUAUUAUCAGCCCAUCUUAUCUAGAAAUCAUUUGGUGAGUGUUCAGGAAAUGGUUCAAUUUUCGAAAACAGCACACCAGCACGUUUGCACAAAACAUCCAAUGUUAGAGACAGACAUGAACUGACUUAAGUAUGUCUGAACAUGCAAGAUACUGCUUAGCCUUCUUCUUUAUCUUCACCAUCGGUUGUUUGUUGGUGGCGCAGGUAAAGGCACAAGACUCUUCCAGUGAUGAACCAGAAAUCAAGUAUGCUGUCAUAGGAGCAGGAAUUGGCCUUUUCCUUUCCAUCUGCUUUCUGCUAAUCAAACUCUACAUCAUCAGAAAGCAGGCGCUUGAGAAUGAACAGGAGAGAUCAGGCAAGUCUUUUCCUGUAAAUCUGAUUCAAACAUUAACCAUCAUAGCUUUAAUCACUUUUUUAAUGAUCAUGUUUAAUGCUUUAAUAUUUCUAAAGAAACAUCACUGAGAAGAGCAUCUGCACGGGAUCACUGAUGUGGAGAGCAGGCGGGAAUGAAAUGUCUUCUGAGGAUGAUUUCAUGCAAACUUUUACAUCAUUUUAUGACUGUUUUAUACAGUUUUAUUUAUUAAGUAGGGGCCAGUUUAGGCCUGUAAAACAAUUCAGCAGAUCAGUGCCAUUGCUAUGUCACGAGGCCUUUUUGUGCUUUUUGAGCCAUAAUGUGAGUACAAUAUAUUUACAAUAACUGUAACGGAGAAUUUUUUUGUAUGAAGAACACCCAUGAUUUAAGCCAGCUUGUCUUUUCAUUUGGGUUUUUCCUUCUUUUAUUCAUCUGUAAUUCAUCUGUGAUAAUGAAAUAUACAUUUAUAUGUGUGAUCAAACAUGACUGUUUAUUUGUAAUUGCUAAGUAAAUAAAAAAUUUACAGCUUUAAGUACA
ensembl:lncRNA